GAUGAAGAACGCAGCGAAAUGCGAUAAGUAGUGUGAAUUGCAGAAUUCAGUGAAUCAUCGAAUCUUUGAACGCACAUUGCGCCCCUUGGUAUCCCGAGGGGCAUGCCUGUUCGAGCGUCAUUUCACCACUCAAGCCUGGCUUGGUGUUGGGCGACGUCCCCUUUGGGGACGCGCCUCGAAACGCUCGGCGGCGUGGCACCGGCUUUAAGCGUAGCAGAAUCUUUCGCUUUGGAAGUCGGGGCCCCGUCUGCCGGAAGACCUACUCGCAAGGUUGACCUCGGAUCAGGCGGGGCUACCCGCUGAGUUUAAGCAUAUCAAUAAGCGGAGGA
rnacentral:misc_RNA from 1 species